rnacentral:ncRNA from 1 species
AGUGAGAAGUCGCGGUGUAGUCGAACGGUCUGGGAAGGCCGGGCACAGUGGGUGAGACCCCCCGUAGACGAAACGUCGUGGCCUCCUUGCAGGGAUCCCGAGUAGCACGGGGCCCGUGAAAUCCCGUGUGAAUCUGCCAAGACCACUUGGUAAGCCUAAAUACUACCUGGUGACCGAUAGCGGACAAGUACCGUGAGGGAAAGGUGAAAAGUACCCCGGGAGGGGAGUGAAAUAGUACCUGAAACCGGAUGCUUAUCCGUCGGAGCCUCCAUGGCUGGGGGUGACGGCGUGCCUUUUGAAGAAUGAGCCUGCGAGUUAGUGGCAUGUGGCGAGGUUAACCCGGGUGGGGAAGCCGUAGCGAAAGCGAGUCCGAACAGGGCGCACCAGUCGCGUGCUCUAGACCCGAAGCGGAGUGAUCUACCCAUGGGCAGGUUGAAGCACGUGUAAGAGCGUGUGGAGGACCGAACCCACUUAGGUUGAAAACUGAGGGGAUGACCUGUGGGUAGG